rnacentral:rRNA from 1 species
GGUCUGCUUAACACAUGCAAGUCGAACGCAAGCUUCGGGUUGAGUGGCGGACGGGUGAGUAACGCGUGAGAAUCUGCCUUGGGGUCGGGGACAACCACUGGAAACGGUGGCUAAUACCGGAUAAGCCUUUGGGUAAAAGAUUUAUUGCCCCAAGAGGAGCUCGCGUCUGAUUAGCUAGUUGGUGAGGUAAAAGCUCACCAAGGCAGCGAUCAGUAGCUGGUCUGAGAGGACGAUCAGCCACACUGGGACUGAGACACGGCCCAGACUCCUACGGGAUGCAGCAGUGGGGAAUUUUCCGCAAUGGGCGAAAGCCUGACGGAGCAAGACCGCGUGAGGGAGGAAUGCUCUUGGGUUGUAAACCUCUUUUCUCAGGGAAGAAGCUCUGACGGUACCUGAGGAAUCAGCCUCGGCUAACUCCGUGCCAGCAGCCGCGGUAAUACGGAGGAGGCAAGCGUUAUCCGGAAUUAUUGGGCGUAAAGCGUCCGCAGGUGGCGAUUCAAGUCUGCUGUCAAAGCACGGGGCUUAACUCCGUUAAGGCAGUGGAAACUGAAUAGCUAGAGUGCCGUAGGGGUAGAGGGAAUUCCCGGUGUAGCGGUGAAAUGCGUAGAGAUCGGGAAGAACAUCGGUGGCGAAAGCGCUCUACUGGACGGCAACUGACACUCAGGGACGAAAGCUAGGGGAGCGAAUGGGAUUAGAUACCCCAGUAGUCCUAGCUGUAAACGAUGGAUACUAGGUGUAGCUUGUAUCGACCCGAGCUGUGCCGAAGCUAACGCGUUAAGUAUCCCGGCUGGGGAGUACGCACGCAAG